rnacentral:rRNA from 1 species
GACGAACGCUGGCGGCGUGCUUAACACAUGCAAGUCGAACGAUGAAGGAGAGCUUGCUCUCCGGAUUGGUGGCGAACGGGUGAGUAACACGUGACUAACCUGCCCCUUUCUCUGGGAUAACGCUCCGAAAGGAGUGCUAAUACCGGAUACGAACUCUGAACACAUGUUCGGAGUUGGAAAGUUUUUCGGAAAGGGAUGGAGUCGCGGCCUAUCAGCUUGUUGGUGAGGUAACGGCUCACCAAGGCGACGAGGGGUAGCCGGCCUGAGAGGGCGACCGGCCACACUGGGACUGAGACACGGCCCAGACUCCUCCGGGAGGCAGCAGUGGGGAAUAUUGCACAAUGGGCGAAAGCCUGAUGCAGCGACGCCGCGUGAGGGAUGAAGGUCUUCGGAUUGUAAACCUCUUUCAGUAGGGACGAAGCGAAAGUGACGGUACCUAAAGAAGAAGCACCGGCUAACUACGUGCCAGCAGCCGCCGUAA